rnacentral:tRNA from 1 species
CUUAGCUCAGUCGGAUAGAGCAACGGCCUUCUAAGCCGUGGGUCGCAGGUUCGAAUCCUGCAGGG